CACCCUCCAAAAUUCAAUUCAAGGUUUCCACAUAAUUAUUCACAGUUAUGAUUUUUCAACAAUCCUCAAACACUAUCAAUGAAAUCAAACGACAAAUCGAAAUCAUGAAGUAUUCAUAUCAUAUCAUGCCUCGCACAAAUAAUCACAUAUAAUAAAAUUAAAAAUGAGAGGUGAUAGAAUUGGACCUUCGAUCAAGCUUUUUUAAAUUGGAAUAAUCCUUUCGACUAAAAUUGCAAACGGCACCUCAACUCAACCUUCAACAAAUGAGAACCCCAAAUCGAUAACGUCCCUAUCGAAUUCCACCCGUACCCUCUCCUAUUUUUCACUAAUCCAAGGCCCGAAGUAACAAACUAACGGAAAGCCCACGCUGAACAGUGAAGUUGAGUUUUGCCAGAGCUGGGAGCGGAUAAAACUGGUGGCAUUCACUGGUGGAGAGGGUGUUUUUCGAUGAGUUUGGCUGCGUUUCCCGGUGAGAAACAGUCAUUGGAACAGUACAAUUUUUCUCUCUGUUCUUCUUCAAUUUCACUCUAUUUCUCCUCUUUCCUGAUCGAUUUCAGCUCGCCAUUGCCUUUCUCUCUCUCUCUCUCCGAUAUCACGUGUCUGGUGUGUGUAUACGGUGUGUAUGUGAAAAUUCGAUAGAGUGUGAAAUUUUGUAUGUGCUCUGCUUGUAUGGAUUUUUGUCAGUAGAAAAAUGGAAGAUGAAAUGGAGAAUCUCGUGUGUGCAUGUGUUUUUUAUGUUUUUUGGUGAGAGAGUGUGUGUAUAACGUCAAGAAGAGAGCAAUUGAGUCUCUAUGUGCUGUGCGUUUCUCCCCUUUUUUUCAGUCUGCCCCCUUUCCCCUGUAAGUGUGUAUAUGUAGCGUAUGAAAAAUCAAGAAUGAAAACCGUGAGGUGAGUGUUGUGUGAUGGUAUGUGGGACCUUCUUUUUUUUUGUUGUAUUUGUCUUUCUGUUAUUAUAACAAAAGAUGAAAAAAUAUGAAUUGGGGGUAGUCACGUGGCAGGGGUAGGGAUGGUUAGGAUAGGAUAAAAUUAUUUAAGGGUUGUUAUUUUUUAUAUUUUUGUGGAAUAUAAUCACAUGGGUGAGGACACGCAAUAAGACGAGGGUAAAAUGAUAAAAAUGCUUUUUUGGAGGGAUAAAAUUACGUGUCUACAUCAUUCCCCCUUUGAAUGUAAGAACGUAGUGUUUUCAGACAAAGAAGUAGACAUCGAGACAAAAUUUUGUCCCGACCAUUAUUCAAAGGAAGAAACAGAAGGAAGAAGGGCAAUCGGAUCUUGACUUAGGACAUCCUACCUACCUAAGUUGUGAGGAAACUAAGUCACAUGUUUCUUAAAGGGUUUGAAGAGAAGUGGACUGUACCAAGCUGGAGAGUCAAGUGAGUUUCCAUUGAGGUUCCGAUCCGUGGCUCUGUCAUUCCAUCAAAAAUAAAAACUACAAGUUAAACGUAAAUGAAAAUUACAAAAAUCCUAUCUAUACAGCUUCUUUGACUCUUGACUUACUAUUUCAUCACUCUAUUCUUCAGGCGGGCUCCUGACUUGCAAUUUUUUCAACUUGUUAUUUGGCUUUCAAUUGCUUCACCUCGUUGCUUAUCUUUCAAUUUGUUCACCCUGUUCUUCAGGCGGGCUCCUGACUUGCUAUUUUUCAAUCUGUUAACUUUCAACUUUUCACCUUGUUGCUUUGUUUUCAACUUCAUCACCUUGUUGCUUGACUUUCAACUUCUUCACCAUAUUGACGGACAUUUCAUUUAUUCGCCCUGUUCUUCAGGCAGGCUCCUGAAAUCACAUUAAAACUAAAAAGAAAAUUAUCCCAAAUAAAGAUUAUUAUAAAGAGAUUUCCUUUGCCAGAAAAGUGAAGUUCCUAACACAAGAAUUAAAUUAGCACCAUUAGCAGAUGUCAUUGACUUGCUGCUUCAUUGACCCGAACUCAAAUUAUUAGGAGUGACUCUGAAAAAAACAUAAUAUCUAUGCUUUGUCAUGUUUCUAAGAUAAACCCUUUGAACCUUGGUAUUUCUAUGAGUUUUUAGAUUUGUCUGUUGAUAAAACUUUCUGCAUGCCUUUAUUUUCCGCUCACAAUCAUGUCUCUUUCAUGCGAUGGCCUUUCUGCCUUUCUUUGUACAAUUGAAGAAGUUGGUAGCUAGUUUUGAAAUCUUUUCUCACUUGUUUUGACAUAGACUUGACUCAAAGAUAAGAGAAAAUAAAAUGACAAUGAUUUUUAUGUGGAUAACUGACUCAAGAAAACAAAAAUAUAAAUAAAGAGAAGAAAGAAAAGAUAAUGAAUGUUCCCAUUUGAAACAAAAAUAAAACAAAAUAAAAAAAAUGAAAAAUUUAUCUAGAAAUGACAGUCAACUCUAAUGAUUAUGCCAUGUAUUUUGGAUAAAACUUCUUGAUCUUUUCAUCCAAACUUUUACCAUUUGUUCUUGAGUUAAUGGCCUUGAAACUGAGUUGCUUCCUUAGGUCAAUUACGUCUAAGACCUCAUUCGACUAGUGGCGCCUUGAAGGGUUUUGGCCAACAAGCUUCUCUCAUUUUCUUUUCCUCAGCUCACUAUUGUCUUAUGGUGUCUGUAAGGUUUUUCACUAAUUAGACUCUCUUAUCUUUGUUUUUCUUAACUCACAGUUAUCUUACGGUGCUCGUGAGAGUUUUCAUCAAUAAGACUCUCAUUUUUAUCUCUCUCAACUUACCAUCGUCUUAUGGUGCCCGUGAAGGUUUUUACCAAUAAGACUCUCAUUUUUAUUUCUCUCCUGAUUUCUUAUGCUGAGGAAGACAAGUAGUUCCCAAAUACAUCAUCAUAUCCCUUGCAUUCUUUGCCUCAACAUCCUCAAAUAUUGAUCUGAAGGUCUUUCUUUUGUUGUAACUUGGAUUUUGGACAAGGUUAGAAAGAAAGGAUGACAUGAGGCCCAAACGACACUUGUAGUGGGGUGGGACUUACAACUUUUGGAAUCGAUUCAAACAAUGAGGAUUCACUCAUGCCCCAGUUUCUUUUAACUAAAAAAUUCAAAAUUAUAUUUGGUUAGACCGAGCCCUGAGUAGGGAAGCCUACGUAUCUCACCCUCGAGAGAGGAGAAUUAGGUCAUGCGUAGUUCUGGCAGCUUGUUCUUUUGCUUAAUUCUAACUUUUCUUUCUUUUUUACUUUAUUGACUCUUUUCUCUUUGGGAUUUUUUUUCUGACUUCAUUUUCUUGACACUCUUCUUUUCUUUCUUUUUGGACACAUUUUUUUUUUUUUUUUUUUUAAGUUUUCUGACCUUUUUUUCAACACUUUUUCUUGGACGUUGCAGACUCUAUCCUGAUUCCAAAAGAGGGGUACGAAAGAAAAUAGAACUAAGGCUCAAAUAAGGUAAAAAAAGGAUGACACAAUAUUUGGAUAGCAGAAUGAAAUGCCUUCAUCAUAUCAAUUCUUGAAAAUGCAAGUACACACCAUGCAAUAUAAAAGUGAGAGAUGAAGAUCAUGUGUGACACUUUAACAACACAAACUUUUAACUGAGCAUGUGUGACACUUCUUUCUUCUAUACUUAUCAAACAUAUGACUCUACCGUUGUUGUAGAUCCCUCACAUUGAAUGACUCAUGAUUUCGUGGAGAUGAUUUUCUUCCCGUUUCAUUUGAUAUAGAUCACAUAUUCCUUGGUUGACCUAAUUGGGAUAUGCCUUUCGAUUGAUGACCAAGUUAUUCUUGUGAUUCUCAAAAUAAUUGCCUUAAUUUUCAAAGAAGGCCUCAACUUGUCACCAAAUGUCUCAGCACUCUACUUAUUUUCUCAGAUGCUUUCUUUUCCAAACUUUAACUCUCUGAUUCAAUGAUUCCUGAUUAAGUUGGAUUUCAAGAUCUGGCUAAAAAUUCUGUAGGCAUGUCAUAACACUAGAAUUAACAUAAAAUUCAUUGCGUAACACAGACAAACAAAGAACUUAAAAUAAGACAAAACAAACAAGGGACACCACAUUUCAUUGAAAGGAAAGAUAGAAGGGUUUAAACAAAAAUGACAGAGAAACAAAGAAGAUAGAUCCCGAACAACCCUGAAAUAAUUUGGAAAAUAGAAAAGAAAACAAAACAAACUACCAGACCUCUUCCUAGUAGGGAGAGAGGUGACUUCUCAACUGCUCAGCUUGACAACUUAGUCACUGGUUUGCAUAUCAGCAUGACUAAAACUUCCACAACGAUAAGACACAUUUUCUUUAACAAAUAAGUUUUCGGUCCUCAUGUUCAAAGCAUUGCUUCCCAUAUAUUGUGCAAUACCAUGUGCUGGCGAAUAAUUCUGUGGGAUGGUUGAGGUGCCAAUGUUUUGCACCACAAUCAAUUUUUCUUGAAUCAUCCUUGAUAUUUCUCUUUUCAAAGCGCGAAAAUUCUUAAUACUGUGACCCUGAACAUCAGAAUGAUAUGCAUAUCAUACAUUAGGAUCAAAACUUCUUGAAUGUGGGUUAGGAGUAUAACUGAGGAGAGGAGUGAUCAUGCCCCACUGUACUAAUCUCUGGAAUAAACUGGCAUAUGACUCUCCAAUUGGUGUAAAGCUAUCCCUCGAUUUCUGCCUCAUUUCAUUAUUUAGUUUUGAUCGAACCUCGGGCCUAGAAGGGCUUUGGUAUGUUUGUGGAGUUAGAGGGUGACUUUGAGGAGUUGGUGCGUGUCAUUGUGAAUAAAAAGAGAGUUGAACAUAUGGCUGUGCGCAAUAUACUAGAUAUGGUGGUGGGGAAAUAGAGUAUAAUAGAUUUUGGGAGGGAUUAUAGAGAGCUUGGGUAUGAACUUGGGCUUGAGACUAACGGUAACGAUGACGUCGCCUUCUUGGAUGUGCCUAUUCUUCAACUACAUUGACAAUUGCAUCUUUCUCAUUCUUCUUUCCUCUAGUUUCUCUUAAUUGAUUGUAAUAUUGUCCCAAAUAUUCCACGGAUUCCCCAUGUCUAUCUUGCUCCUCAAAUUUUGACAUCUUAAGGAUUGGAGGGGGGUUAACACUUGAAGACAUGCCCCAAUCUUUGUAUGUAACAUCUUCUUUACCCAUAAGUCCUAGGAAAUUUUUCGUAGCAUUUUCUGCAUUCUUCAUCUUCUCAACCAUUUUCUCUGGCUCUUCUGGCAUGCUAGGCUUCUUGUUAAAAAAUUUUGGUGGUCCAAUUAACUUAAAUGUAGGAUCAAGAGUCUAAUAAUGAUCACCAAGAGUAUCGAGCAUGGGUCCACUAACAACAUGGGGAAACACAACUGUUAGGCAUCUAGCCAAUGUGGAUGUCUCAGCGGAGGAUUGAGCACCAAAAUCACAGACGACAUGUGGUGUUGUAAAUAUAGUUGGCUUAUGCCGAGGGGCUAGAAAAAUAGUGGUGGAAGUAUUGAAAUUCUUUUGGCUUGGAAUGAAUUCUGAGGCAUGUUGUGGUGCAUCAACAACAUUAGAAUAUGGAGCUUGCCAUUGUGAUGGAGAACUCAGGUUAUUUGCGGGGUCAACAGUAGAGAAUGGAGGAGGAGGCAACUUACUGGCCCAAUCUCGAUGCAUUUCCGUCAUUUGUUGCCUUAGUCUCCUAAUCUCUUGCUUCAAACUCUCAUUUUCAUGGCUCUUUUUUUGAUCCACGAUUUCACUCUCUAUAUCCUUGUUGGAUACAACUAACUCUUCCUCGGAUUUGGUGUGAUGUGGAGGAUCAGCCAGGAUGUCACAAACCAAUCACCUUAAACCAAUCAACACUUUCUCAAACUUUUUUUAGUUUUUUCUUUUUUUUUGAAAAAGAUUACCGAAUCCAAAAAGGGCGCCUACGUAUCUCACCCCCGAAAGGGGAGAAUCAGGUGUGCGUAGUUCGUGAAGUUUUUCCAAAAUGGCCAAUUAAACUAUUUUUCUUUUUUUUUUCCUUGUAACUUUAAAAAGAAAAGAAAAUAACAAAUUGUCAAAAGAAUUAAUGAAAAUCUUUUUGCAUUUUUCAGGUUUAAACUCAUUAUACAAAAUGGAAUCUAUGAUUAUCAAAGAAAAAUCUUUUUGGAUUUUCAAUUUUGAAUUUCAUAGGAAAAUGAAACUUGAAACUAUUAAAGAAAAAUCUUUUUUUAGUUUUCUUUUGGAGAUGUAUAUGAAACACCUAUUCUAAGUGAAGAGUGAAGAAAAUCUUUUUGAAUUUUUCAGAUUCCUGUACAACAUGAAAUCUGUGAUUACCGAAGAAAAUAUUUUUGGAUUUUUGAUUUUGAAUUUCAUACGAAAAUGAAACUUGAACCUAUUCAAGGAAAUAUUUUUUUUGUUGUUUUCUUUUAAAGAUGUACAUGAGACACCUACUCUAAAUGAAGAGUGAAGAAAAUCUUUUUUGGAUUUUUGAAAUAAGAUCUCCGAACCAAUAAUAGGCUACCUACGUAUCUCACUCCCAAGAGAGGAGAAUCAGGGGUGCGUAGUUCGUCCAAAUUGGACAAUUAAGGAUUAACUAGAAAACUGAACCCUGAUUUAAGAGACAUUAACAAAGAUAAACGAUAAAAGACGUUAAAAAAUAGUUUUUUUUUGGGGGGGGGGGGGGGUUUCAAUUAGACACUUCACAUAAAACUGACACCGAUAACUAUGAAAGAAUUUUUUUUUGAAAAUUUUGAAUUAUGAAUGCAGGACAAAGAAAUAAAAGGAAAAUCUUUUGGAUGUUAUUUUUUAGGAAAAUGAGUGCGAAAGGUAAAAAAAUCGUUUGAAUUUUUGGAUUGUGAAAAAAAAUAAUCAAAAGCCAUAAAGAAUUCUAAAAACUUACGAAACACUUUUUUUCUUUUCGACUCACUUUUUCUUUUUUUUUCCUCUUUUUUUUUUCAAUUUUUCCUUGCCUACAUACUCGAUUUUUCUAGCACAUGCUCUCCUCCAAAUCAAUUCGUCAAAUGACCAUAUUACCCUUAAAGAUGCAACAUUUAGCACGCAGAGAUGCUUUAGAGGUGAGUUUCCUACAAAAGGCCACGUGAGUCCUACUAGGUCUCAAUAUGAUGCAGAUAAGCAUGAUCUAAAGGCUGACCUACGCUGGGGUUCACUAACAAGGCUGUUCGGGGGUGCAUAUGGUCGACAGUGGUUGCGAUAUCUUUCCACCCACUCCAUAACAUCGAUGGAUCCCCCUCCAAAAAUAAGAGUGACUCAACUAGAGGUCGUGGACAACACGUGUACUAUGGACUUGUUACAAAAAGAAUGACUUAGAUUAUUCACAUGAUGCCAGAUAUAAAGCGGUAACACAUAAAGUAAAACUAUAAACAAAGAGCACGUAGGCACUCAACACUGAUAAAAUGAAUACGAACAAUAACAUAAACAAUGUCUAUACACCCAUAAUGUCAAACAAAGCCGAUACAACUCCAAAAUUAGCUCGAAUUCUGAAAAGUCCCCAGCAGAGUCGCCAGAGCUGUCACACCCCUUUUUAACUCCAAAAAGAUUAAAUUUAAGUUUCGAAAGGGUUUUCAUUAUUAAAGUGACAAAAAAUGAAAAUUUUGUUUCGAAAAGGAUUAUUCACAUUUAUACUCAGAGUCGCCACUUGGCACAAAUCAGGUGUGCCAAGUCACCCAUGGAUAUCCUUUUUCAAAAUGGUUUUGACUCUAUAAAACUAAUCCGCAAACAGAGAUUCUGACUAAGAACUUCUGUUGACCGGGGGGAAGGUGUUAAGCACCCUUCGAUCCCGUGGUUCGACCACGGUCGCUUGGUGGUGAAUAUCAGCUAAUUUGACAUUACAAAUGUAUAAACCACACAAAAACACAUAAAACAAUCAAACAAACAAACAAAAUAAAAUGAAUAACAAAUAUAAUGUCCAGUCCAAUUAUACAGUCCUGAAAUAAAUAAAAAUGCAAAAAUAAAUCCUAUCUAACCUAUACUAAUCCUAACUACGCUCCCAGGAUUUAUCCGAUGCCUCGGGCCUUGAUCACAAUUCGCCUUCGCCAACAUGAUACGUCGGGGCAUUCUUCGGUGAAUAAAUACAUCAAUGUUUGGGGCAUUCUCCGGCCAAAUGAAUACAUUUCAAUCCAAAAAAAUAAAUCAACACAUUUCAACAAAACACUUUCAUCAUUUAACGAUUGCAAGUCCUACUUUUGCCUACCCGAACCUACUCUUUACUUAUCCAAUUCGACCGAUCACGAUACUAUCACAUCAACGAUGUUCAAUGAAUCAAAAUAAAUUAACGCUUACAUUUUAUCAAUUUUCGAUUCCCACCCUCCAAAAUUCAAUUCAAGGUUUCCACAUAAUCAUUCACAGUUAUGAUUUUUCAACAAUCCUCGAACACUAUCAAUGAAAUCAAACGACAAAUUGAAAUCAUGAAGUAUUCAUAUCAAAUCAUGCCUCGCAUAAAUAAUCACAUAUAGUGAAAUUAAAAAUGAGAGGUGAUAGAAUUGGACCUUCGAUCAAGCUUUUUUAAAUUGGAAUAAUCCUUUCGACUAAAAUCGCAAACGGAACCUCAACUCAACCUUCAACAAAUGAGAACCCCAAAUCGAUAACGUCCCUAUCGAAUUCCACCCGUACCCUCUCCUAUUUUUCACUAAUCCAAGGCCCGAAGUCACAAACUAACAAAAAACCCACACUGAACAGUAAAGUUGGGUCGGUUUUGGCGGUUUCCCAAUAGUUUUCGUCGGAGUUGGGAGGGGAUAAAAUUGGUGGCAUUCACUGGUGGAGAGGGUGUUUUCCGAUGAGUUUGGAUGCGUUUCCUAGUGAAAAACAGGCACCGGAAUAGUGCUAAACUUUCCCUCUGUUCUUCUUCUAUUUCACUCCAUUUCUUUUCUUUUUCAAUCAAUUUCAGCUCGCCAUUGCCUUUCUCUCUCUCUCUCCGAUCUCACGUGUCUGGUGUUUGUAUACGGUGUGUAUGUGAAAAUUUGAUGGAGUGUGAAAUUUUGUGUGUGCUGUGCCUGUAUAGAUUUUUGUCAGUAGAAAAAUGGAAGAUGAAAUGGAGAAUCUCGUAUGUGCGUGUGUUUUUUGUGUUUUCUGGCGAGAGAGUGUGUGUGUAUAACGUGAAGAAGAGAGCAAUGAAGUCUCUGUGUUCUAUGCGUUUC
rnacentral:lncRNA from 1 species